UCGUCUUUUGUUCGGUUUUGUACCGUUAUUAUUUGUUUGUAUGUCAAAUUAUCAUUUGUUUUUAUACUUGUAGUUUGAUGUCCUUUAUGAAAUUGCAGAUUUGUUUCAUGCUCUCUUCGCAAUUUUCUAGAAAGACUGUUUCUAGUUGUUUCAUGUGCUCUAAUACUGUGUAUUUGGCUCUAGUGUUGUUGUAUUUUGAGCAGAUGUAGAGUGCAUGUUUUAGGUCUUCUCGUUCUAAGCAGAUUUCGCAGCAAUCAUCAUCCUCGAGGCGCCACAACGCCCUUCUUUCUCUCGUGAAGGUGUUUUGAGUAUUUCGUAGUGCCAUCGUCCUUUAGAAUUGGAUAGUGCCUUGUACGCUUCCGACCAAUCAUACCAGAUCUCCUUCUGGCUUAGAGCGAGUGCAUCACCGAGUGUUAUACCAAUAUGUUCCGUUUGUUUGUCAUACGUUUUAGAGACUGCCGCUUGAUCAGCUAUUUCGUUUCCUUGAAUGCCGGUGUGGCUGGGGAUCCAUUGGAUUUUUAACGCCCCUCUUCGCAUAUCUUUUAUAUCCUUGUAAAUGUUAUAUACAAUAAAAUUCUCAAAGAGUGACGUGUUGUUCAUUAGCGAUUUACAUGCACUUCUUGAAUCAGUGAAAA